rnacentral:rRNA from 1 species
GAUGAACGCUGGCGGCGUGCCUAAUACAUGCAAGUCGAGCGAACGGACGAGAAGCUUGCUUCUCUGGUGUUAGCGGCGGACGGGUGAGUAACACGUGGAUAACCUACCUAUAAGACUGGGAUAACUUCGGGAAACCGGAGCUAAUACCGGAUAAUAUUUUGAACCGCAUGGUUCAAAAGUGAAAGACGGUCUUGCUGUCACUUAUAGAUGGAUCCGCGCUGCAUUAGCUAGUUGGUAAGGUAACGGCCUACCAAGGCAACGAUGCAUAGCCGACCUGAGAGGGUGAUCGGCCACACUGGAACUGAGACACGGUCCAGACUCCUACGGGAGGCAGCAGUAGGGAAUCUUCCGCAAUGGGCGAAAGCCUGACGGAGCAACGCCGCGUGAGUGAUGAAGGUCUUCGGAUCGUAAAACUCCGUUAUUAGGGAAGAACAUAUGUGUAAGUAACUGUGCACAUCUUGACGGUACCUAAUCAGAAAGCCACGGCUAACUACGUG